UGGCCAAGCGGUAAGGCAGGGGACUGCAAAUCCUUUAUCCCCAGUUCAAAUCUGGG
rnacentral:tRNA from 1 species